UUCACUGCACUGCACCUAGCCAUAUCAUAAUUUCAAUAAUACUAAGAUUUAUUUUUUAAGCCUUACAGGGAGCUAUGGCCAGUGGGCUGGGAGCUGUCCCGAAGGAGGUGCUAGGAGCUGGGAUGAAGGAGGUGCUCGAAGCUUGGCUGGAGGAACUGCAAGGAGCUGUUGUGGAGGAGGUGAGCUGAGCUGUGGACACACUAGAGCUCAGGCCAGGAGUCAGAGUGGCAGGGGCAUGGAGAGCUUCCUGGUCCAGCACUGUUGGGUCCUCUGCUGCUUCGGCAAACCCCUCAUCUUCCUCCUCAUUGUCCUCCACAUUAUGCUCCUCCACCAUCUGAGCAGUCUCCUCCGAAUCAGGGUGCAUAUCCUGCAGUGCCUGACCAGUCUGCCGGAACAGAUACUGCAGCCCUAUGAGCUCUCCUGAAACAACAGAGUGAAGCAGGUCACCCGAGUAGCUGCGGAAAGCAGAUGGUCCAGCCGACAGGGCAGCACUACCACGGUCCUGGUUCCACCUAUGGAGUCCUUCAAGCAAGUAAACCUGAAAAUUCAGGCUGUUGGCACUGGUUCCUAGAAGUAAAUAAGUAAACACAAACCUGGGAUGAAGCGGUUGAGGUGCAAAUGAAAGGACUCCAAAGAUGUAGAGCCCCUGGCGCACCUGAAUGUGGGCAACCGCACACCUCCCUUAGUGAGCUCCCCUGUUUUUGUGUAGAGAGACACACCUGGCGGGUCCUGGAUGCAUUUGAUGUGCUUGCUUUGGACAUGCCAGAUGUGCUCCAUCCUGUCCAUGUCAAACAGGGGAACUCCAAGAGAGUCGUUGCCACUGGUCCCCGUCAGCCCCUGCAGCAGCUCCUCCAGCAUCUGGGUGGUGGCCUCUUCACCCCGGGUUCUCCUCCGACAAUGGAGGGCCAGCUCCCCCCUGGACAGAUGCCUGUUGAUGUCCUGAUCUGUGACUGCCAUGCCCUGGGACUGAAGCUGCUGUUUUUUUGCUUCGCGCAACAGAGCUAAAUCAGCUGCAUCCCACUCAAAUAUGCACGCUGACAGGCGUGACAUAAAGACCGGGUACAACUGAUGAGCAUCUGUUGCGCAUCCCAGGGCAAUUCUGCGCAUGAAGUGCCAGAUAUCGAGCCUGACGAUGAGGUCAGGCCACCCACCGAAUCUGGCCUCCAGCUUGGUCUCCCCAGCGUUGGAGCAGCAGCCACAGUCCACAUACAGGGCAACAGGGGGAUGGACACCAGCUUUCUGGUAACGCUGUACCAGGUCUGCUGCCAUCAUGUCCAGGCCAGCUCCCUCCUGAGCGGUCAGCACACUGAUCAGAAUCUGACCAUGCUCAUUCCCCACGGAGGUGAGCCAGAGAGCUGUCCCUUUAGCCGUGCCGGCAAGCUUCUUGGUGAUCUGAAGGGAAAAAAAGAAGUAAAAAAGUGAUUAUUUUCAUGAAUAUUAAUUUACUGUGAGUAGUUAAUAAUAUCAGUUUCUGUAUUAAAGAAUGUGAAAACAAUUUAAACCUUUUUGGUCGAGUCCAUCUUUAAAAUUGUGCCAAAGGUGGAUGUUAUCCUGGCCUUGAUGUCCUCGAGCCUUGUCAAGAUGUCCUGGCUGUAGACAGACAGGAGCCACUUGCAGCUUGGCACCACAGAAGGCUCAGGGGGCUCAGGGAAAGUCAUGGGCAGCAGUCCGGGGCGCUGCUGAAAGUCCACACACUCUGUGGUGUACCUGGCAACCCGAUGCAGCCACUCCUCAGAGUGGUUUUCCAUCAGCUGCUUAACAACCCGUGUUGGACUGUUACCCAGACCUCUCUCCCGCAGGAAGCGGAUCACCCGGAUGUCACAGGCAUAUCUAAGUCAAAGACAGGUGUAUCAGUGGAAUUGUUUUACAUAAUUCUGUUGACAAGGCAAGAGAGAAAAGAUUUAAUACUUACUUCUGGGUCAGGAUCACCCGGAAUUCAGACCUGUGAGCCAAGUCCAGCUGCCUGAGGACAGUUUGGCUCCAAGACACGUGGGUGGCUCUACAUUUGGUGCAGGUCUCAGUCCUGGUACUACUGGAGCACUCUGGGCUGGACUGGAUGGUGGAGCCUGUUGAACAGCUACGGAACCCACCAGAGGACCAGCUGCUACCCUCUGGACAGGGUCCCCUGCUGCUGCAAUCUGUUGCCCCACAGGGCCUUGGACUUGACCCACAGCUGCAGCUGGUUGCCCUCCAGUCCGCGGAGCAACACUUGGUGUGGAUGGCUGUUAUUCCAAGACAGAGUAGACACAGUUUUAAUUGUUGUAGCGACAUACAUAAACAAACACUGUCUCAGAUAAACACUCUCAAUAGUUUUACCUUUGGUUGAUGAAAUCCACAUUGGCACUUCCUCUCUUGCCCAAACAAUGACCUCUGUCCAUGAGUCUGCAUCGGACAUUUCUCAAUCUACAAGCAAUAAUCACACAUUUGAUUGACUAUGGAAUAAUCAUCACAGUGUAUAGCUUAUGGAUCUGAUAGAAAGUUUGCCAAUUUUAUAUUAGUUAACUAAUGAACCUUAUUUUGUAUUUGUUACAAGUUAUGGGUAAAAUGUAUAGGAAGAGUAAAUUGUAUACUGGUCCAUAAAUAAACUCAUACCCUCUGAUACAGCUCAAACCAUUUCUUCUGCCUGGGAGCAGGUCUGUUGCCUUCACCUGCAGGCCAGGACCCAGUGCUGGCAAACCUUCUCAGACGGGACAUCCACUCUGAGUCGGACAUUGCCUUGUGCGAUUUUGUCUUGGAAGACAUUGCCUAUUUUUAACAUGAAUGCAGAUAUUAAAACAUAAAAACAGUAAUAUACAGUAAUUGCUUUAUAUUAAAUCGGGUGC